rnacentral:rRNA from 1 species
CCCUUAGAUGUUCUGGGCCGCACGCGCGCUACACUGACGAAUGCAACGAGCUUAUAACCUUGGCCGAAAGGUCUGGGUAAUCUCCAAAUUUCGUCGUGAUGGGGAUGGAUUAUUGCAAUUAUUAAUCUUCAACGAGGAAUGCCUAGUAAGCGCAAGUCAUCAGCUUGCGUUGAUUACGUCCCUGCCCUUUGUACACACCGCCCGUCGCUCCUACCGAUUGAAUGGUCCGGUGAAGCGCUCGGACCGCGGCCUCUUGACGGUUCGCUGUCGAUUGGCUGUGGGAAGUUCGUUAAACCUUAUCAUUUAGAGGAAGGAGAANUCGUAACA